GAUGAACGCUGGCGGCGUGCCUAAUACAUGCAGGUCGAGCGAACGGACGAGAAGCUUGCUUCUCUGAUGUUAGCGGCGGACGGGUGAGUAACACGUGGAUAACCUACCUAUAAGACUGGGAUAACUUCGGGAAACCGGAGCUAAUACCGGAUGAUAUUUUGAACCGCAUGGUUCAAAAGUGAAAGACGGUCUUGCUGUCACUUAUAGAUGGAUCCGCGCUGCAUUAGCUAGUUGGUAAGGUAACGGCUUACCAAGGCAACGAUGCAUAGCCGACCUGAGAGGGUGAUCGGCCACACUGGAACUGAGACACGGUCCAGACUCCUACGGGAGGCAGCAGUAGGGAAUCUUCCGCAAUGGGCGAAAGCCUGACGGAGCAACGCCGCGUGAGUGAUGAAGGUCUUCGGAUCGUAAAACUCUGUUAUUAGGGAAGAACAAAUGUGUAAGUAACUGUGCACGUCUUGACGGUACCUAAUCAGAAAGCCACGGCUAACUACGUG
rnacentral:rRNA from 1 species